rnacentral:lncRNA from 1 species
UGGCUGCAAAGUUAUUUUAACCCGUUUAAAAUGCAACUUCACUAAUAUAAUAGUGGUAUGAAUUUCUGCCUGCAGAGAUGAGAAAUAAAACCAAAAUCUGCAGUUCCUGGAAUGGCCAUUGGAGGCUGGCUCCAAAACAGCUACAGCAAGGUCCUAUGACCAGACUUCUACAAACCAAACAAAGACUGCUGAGUGUUUCACAGCUGAGACAAAAGACGCAGUGAAAGGACGGGAAGAGACAAACACGCACCUGUGGUGACCUUUAAGAUGAUGACUUGUGAACAGAUGGCUGCUUGACUGAACAGAGACCUUCUUGCUUUUUACUCCACCCUG